AUUGAACGCUGGCGGCAGGCCUAACACAUGCAAGUCGAGCGGUAACACAGGGAGCUUGCUCCUGGGUGACGAGCGGCGGACGGGUGAGUAAUGUCUGGGAAACUGCCUGAUGGAGGGGGAUAACUACUGGAAACGGUAGCUAAUACCGCAUAAUGUCGCAAGACCAAAGAGGGGGACCUUCGGGCCUCUUGCCAUCAGAUGUGCCCAGAUGGGAUUAGCUAGUAGGUGGGGUAACGGCUCACCUAGGCGACGAUCCCUAGCUGGUCUGAGAGGAUAGCCAGCCACACUGGAACUGAGACACGGUCCAGACUCCUACGGGAGGCAGCAGUGGGGAAUAUUGCACAAUGGUCGCGAGCCUGAUGCAGCCAUGCCGCGUGUAUGAAGAAGGCCUUCGGGUUGUAAAGUACUUUCAGCGGGGAGGAAGGCGAUAAGGUUAAUAACCUUGUCGAUUGACGUUACCCGCAGAAGAAGCACCGGCUAACUCCGUGCCAGCCGCCGCCGUAA
rnacentral:rRNA from 1 species